AUACUUACCUGGACGGGGUCGACGGCCGAUCAAGAAGGGUCGUGGCCUAGAUCAAUGGUUCACAUUGCACUUGGUGAAUGCGUUGGUCUACCAUCUCCCCAAGUGGGAGAGUGGACGUCAUAAUUUGUGGUAGAGGGGGUACGCGUUCGCGCGGCCCCUGC
rnacentral:snRNA from 1 species